rnacentral:tRNA from 1 species
GCGACACUAGCUCAGUUGGUAGAGCGCAACCUUGCCAAGGUUGAGGUCAGCGAGUUCGAACCUCGUGUGUCGCUCCA